UAUAGGCGAUCAGGGCAAGAUGGAAACGAGGUGCACAGAACCUGCGGCAAUGACAAUGAAGGGGCAAACGCAAGAGCAUGAAGGGGGCUGUGAUCAUGACCAUGAAAUGGAGGAACUCAAAAAGGGCUUGGCAGAGCUGCAAGAGGAAAACAAUGGACUGCGUUAGGAAAACGUGCAGCUGCGGGAGGAACUGGCUGGCACACACAACGAACUGAAGGACAAGAAGGCCCAGGGAGAUGCUGUUGUGAAGAUGAUUAAAAAGCUCCGCAGGUGGGUCCGUACUGCCAGCAGCUCCACUAAUGGUCGGC